AUGAAAUUCAUGAAAUACAGACCCGUCGGCGUUUGGGGCAAGAUUGUGGGAUCACUGUGUGCCAUUGCUGGUGUGCUGACAAUCGCACUGCCGGUGCCGGUUAUCGUCAGUAAU
rnacentral:sRNA from 1 species